ACGGGAGGCAGCAGUGGGGAAUAUUGCACAAUGGGGGCAACCCUGAUCCAGCCAAACCGCGUGAGGGAUGAAGGUCCUACGGAUCGUAAACCUCUUUUAUGUGGGAAUAAUUGCCGGUAUGUAUACUGGUUUGAAGGUACCACUUGAAUAAGCAUCGGCUAACUCCGUGCCAGCAGCCGCGGUAAUACGGAGGAUGCAGGCGUUAUCCGGAUUUAUUAGGUUUAAAGGGUGCGCAGGCGGGACAUUAAGUCGGCGGUGAAAGACCGUGGCCCAACCACGGGGCUGCCGUCGAUACUGAUGACCGAGAGUGCGUGUGACGUAGGCGGAAUGUGACGUGUAGCGGUGAAAUGCUUAGAUAUGUCACAGAACACCGAUUGCGAAGGCAGCCUACGAAUGCGUAACUGACGCUCAUGCACGAAAGCGCGGGUAGCGAACAGGAUUAGAUACCCUGGUA
rnacentral:rRNA from 1 species